GAUGAAGAACACAGCGAAAUGCGAUAAGUAAUGUGAAUUGCAGAAUUCAGUGAAUCAUCGAAUCUUUGAACGCACAUUGCGCCCGCCAGUAUUCUGGCGGGCAUGCCUGUUCGAGCGUCAUUUCAACCCUCAAGCCCCCGGGCUUGGUGUUGGGGAUCGGCGUGCCCUCGCGGCGCGCCGUCCCCUAAAUCUAGUGGCGGUCUCGCUGUAGCUUCCUCUGCGUAGUAGCAACACUCGCACUGGAUCGCAGCGCGGCCACGCCGUUAAACCCCCCACUUCUGAAAGUUUGACCUCGGAUCAGGUAGGAAUACCCGCUGAACUUAAGCAUAUCAAUAAGCGGAGGA
rnacentral:misc_RNA from 1 species